rnacentral:rRNA from 1 species
ACUCAAAGGAAUUGACGGGGGCCCGCACAAGCGGUGGAUGAUGGGGUUUAAUUCGAAGCUACGCGAAGAACCUUACCGAGGCUUGACAUCCUGCGAAUCCGCUGGAAACAGUGGAGUGCCUUCGGGAGCGCAGUGACAGGUGUUGCAUGGCCGUCGUCAGCUCGUGUCGUGAGAUGUUGGGUUAAGUCCCGCAACGAGCGCAACCCUUGUUGUCUGUUGUAUUUUUCAGACGAUACUGCCCGGGCCAACCGGGAGGAAGGUGGGGAUGACGUCAGGUCAGCAUGACCCUUACGCCUCGGGCUACACCCGUCAUACAAUGGCUGGUACAACACGUCUGCCAACCCGCGAGGGGGAGCUAAUCGUAUCAAAACCAGUCUCAGUUCGGAUUGCAGGCUGCAACUCGCCUGCAUGAAGUCGGAAUCGCUAGUAACCGUGUGUCAGCAUAUCACGGUGAAUACGUUCCCGGGCCUUGUACACACCGCCCGU